rnacentral:rRNA from 1 species
UACGUAGGUGGCAAGCGUUGUCCGGAUUUACUGGGCGUAAAGAGCGCGCAGGCGGUCGUUUCAAGUCGAGUGUGAAAGCCCCCGGCUCAACUGGGGAGGGUCACUCGAUACUGAUCGACUCGAAGGCAGAAGAGGGAAGCGGAAUUCCCGGUGUAGUGGUGAAAUGCGUAGAUAUCGGGAGGAACACCAGUGGCGAAGGCGGCUUUCUGGUCUGCUCUUGACGCUGAGGCGCGAAAGCUAGGGUAGCAAACGGG